AACGUGGAGACAGGUGGUGCAUGGCUGUCGUCAGCUCGUGUCGUGAGAUGUUGGGUUAAGUCCCGCAACGAGCGCAACCCUCACCCCUUGUUGCUACCAGGUUAUGCUGGGCACUCUAGGGGAACUGCCCCGGUCAACGGGGAGGAAGGCGGGGACGACGUCAAGUCAUCAUGCCCCUUACGUCCUGGGCUACACACGUGCUACAAUGGCCGGUACAGAGGGAUGCAAGACCGCGAGGUGGAGCUAAACCCAAAAAGCCGGUCUAAGUUCAGAUUGGAGUCUGCAACUCGACUCCAUGAAGGAGGAAUCGCUAGUAAUCGCGUAUCAGCACGACGCGGUGAAUACGUUCCCGGGCCUUGUACACACCGCCCGUCACACCACGAAAGCCAGCUGUACUCGAAGUCGCUGAG
rnacentral:rRNA from 1 species